rnacentral:lncRNA from 1 species
ACUAACUCUGGCAUGGUAUGUCUUCACUAUUUUAGCUUGGCAUGCAGUCGAGACAACUCGAGAUGGAUCCGAACUAGCUCUCUCAGGAUAACAGAGAAGGUAUUUUUAGGUUCUGAUGGUCGAGCCAGCUCGAAAUUGAAAUCAAACCAGCUCUAUCAGGUUGGCAGAAAGAAGAGUUUUGAAGAAUACAAGUUGAGCC